UUGACCUCGAACAUUA
rnacentral:rRNA from 1 species